UAAAGGCUACAUUGUUCGUACCUUUAAUUAAGUUUUUCACCUAGUUAGAAUUUAGGGAGUUUUACAUUGAAACUGAAAUGACAAAUCUCUGUGUCUAUAAGACAUGGAGGACAAGCAGGAAGGCUAUAAGACAUGGAGGACAAGCAGGAAGGUUUCUGCAAACACCCACUUAGUCAAGUGGUGUAUAAAACUUCUUUAAGUUAGAUACGGCAAAUGUGGCUUUUAA
rnacentral:other from 1 species